rnacentral:rRNA from 1 species
ACGUAGGGUGCAAGCGUUAAUCGGAAUUACUGGGCGUAAAGCGUGCGCAGGCGGUUAUAUAAGACAGAUGUGAAAUCCCCGGGCUCAACCUGGGAACUGCAUUUGUGACUGUAUAGCUAGAGUACGGCAGAGGGGGAUGGAAUUCCGCGUGUAGCAGUGAAAUGCAUAGAUAUGCGGAGGAACACCGAUGGCGAAGGCAAUCCCCUGGGCCUGUACUGACGCUCAUGCACGAAAGCGUGGGGAGCAAACAG